CAUAUAAAAAUAAUAUAAUUAUUAUAUUAUAUAAAUAAUUUUAGCCUUCUUUAUU
rnacentral:sRNA from 1 species